GGUCAAGUGAACAAGUGCAUGU
rnacentral:rRNA from 1 species